AUUGAACGCUGGCGGCAGGCUUAACACAUGCAAGUCGAGCGGAGAUGAGGUGCUUGCACCUUAUCUUAGCGGCGGACGGGUGAGUAAUGCUUAGGAAUCUGCCUAUUAGUGGGGGACAACAUUCCGAAAGGAAUGCUAAUACCGCAUACGUCCUACGGGAGAAAGCAGGGGAUCUUCUGACCUUGCGCUAAUUGAUGAGCCUAAGUCGGAUUAGCUAGUUGGUGGGGGAAAGGCCUACCAAGGCGACGAUCUGGAGCGGGUCUGAGAGGAUGAUCCGCCACACUGGGACUGAGACACGGCCCAGACUCCUACGGGAGGCAGCAGUGGGGAAUAUUGGACAAUGGGGGGAACCCUGAUCCAGCCAUGCCGCGUGUGUGAAGAAGGCCUUAUGGUUGUAAAGCACUUUAAGCGAGGAGGAGGCUACUGAGACUAAUACUCUUGGAUAGUGGACGUUACUCGCAGAAUAAGCACCGGCUAACUCUGUGCCAGCCGCCGCCGUAA
rnacentral:rRNA from 1 species